CUUGCAGCCAUAUCAUGUUGAAACACCAGUUCUCGUAUGAUCACUGAAAUUAAGCAAUUUUGAGCCUGGUCAGUACCUAGAUGGGUAACCACUUGAGAAUACCAGGUGCUGUAAG